rnacentral:rRNA from 1 species
GCUCAGAUUGAACGCUAGCGGGAUGCCUUACACAUGCAAGUCGAACGGCAGCACGGACUUCGGUCUGGUGGCGAGUGGCGAACGGGUGAGUAAUGUAUCGGAACGUGCCUAGUAGCGGGGGAUAACUACGCGAAAGCGUAGCUAAUACCGCAUACGCCCUACGGGGGAAAGCAGGGGAUCGCAAGACCUUGCACUAUUAGAGCGGCCGAUAUCGGAUUAGCUAGUUGGUGGGGUAACGGCUCACCAAGGCGACGAUCCGUAGCUGGUUUGAGAGGACGACCAGCCACACUGGGACUGAGACACGGCCCAGACUCCUACGGGAGGCAGCAGUGGGGAAUUUUGGACAAUGGGGGAAACCCUGAUCCAGCCAUCCCGCGUGUGCGAUGAAGGCCUUCGGGUUGUAAAGCACUUUUGGCAGGAAAGAAACGUCAUGGGUUAAUACCCCGUGAAACUGACGGUACCUGCAGAAUAAGCACCGGCUAACUACGUGCCAGCAGCCGCGGUAAUACGUAGGGUGCAAGCGUUAAUCGGAAUUACUGGGCGUAAAGCGUGCGCAGGCGGUUCGGAAAGAAAGAUGUGAAAUCCCAGAGCUUAACUUUGGAACUGCAUUUUUAACUACCGAGCUAGAGUGUGUCAGAGGGAGGUGGAAUUCCGCGUGUAGCAGUGAAAUGCGUAGAUAUGCGGAGGAACACCGAUGGCGAAGGCAGCCUCCUGGGAUAA